rnacentral:rRNA from 1 species
AUUGAACGCUGGCGGCAGGCCUAACACAUGCAAGUCGAGCGGUAACACAGGGAGCUUGCUCCUGGGUGACGAGCGGCGGACGGGUGAGUAAUGUCUGGGAAACUGCCUGAUGGAGGGGGAUAACUACUGGAAACGGUAGCUAAUACCGCAUAACGUCGCAAGACCAAAGAGGGGGACCUUCGGGCCUCUUGCCAUCAGAUGUGCCCAGAUGGGAUUAGCUAGUAGGUGGGGUAACGGCUCACCUAGGCGACGAUCCCUAGCUGGUCUGAGAGGAUGACCAGCCACACUGGAACUGCGACACGGUCCAGACUCCUACGGGAGGCAGCAGUGGGGAAUAUUGCACAAUGGGCGCAAGCCUGAUGCAGCCAUGCCGCGUGUAUGAAGAAGGCCUUCGGGUUGUAAAGUACUUUCAGCGGGGAGGAAGGCGAUAAGGUUAAUAACCUUGUCGAUUGACGUUACCCGCAGAAGAAGCACCGGCUAACUCCGUGCCAGCCGCCGCCGUAACAC